AUUGAACGCUGGCGGCAGGCCUUACACAUGCAAGUCGAGCGAGAGGCGGACGGGAGAGUAAUGUAUGGGGACUGCCCGAUAGAUGGGGAUAACUACUGGAAACGGUGGCUAAUACCGCAUACUAUCGGAUAACCCAUAUGGGAUUAGCUAGUGGGGGGGGUACAGGCUCACCUAGGCGACGAUCUCUAGCUGGUCUGAGAGGAUGAUCAGCCACACUGGGACUGAGACACGGCCCAGACUCCUACGGAGGCAGCAGUGGGGAAUAUUGCACAAUGGGGGCAAGCCGGAUGCAGCCAUGCCGCGUGUAUGAAGAAGGCCUUAGGGUUGUAAAGUACUUUCAGCGGGGAGGCGUUACCUGCAGAAGAAGCACCGGCUAACUCCGUGCCAGCAGCCGCGGUAAUAC
rnacentral:rRNA from 1 species